CUGAGGUUCCUUUUGUCCCCUCACUUGGGAGUUCCUGGCUUCAGAGAGCUAUGACUGUGUCUGUAAAUAGCCACUGCACUCCAGCCUGGGCAAUAGAGGCAAACCCUACCUCUAAAAAAAUACAUGAAUAAUUUUAAAAGUCAGCCUCUCUGAGUGCUUAUAAAGAAUGCUAGCUAACUGAAUGACAAAACACCUAACGUGAUCCAGGUGCAAAGUUAGGAUUCUCCCCGAACCCUUGCUAGGGCUUUUCAUGGAGUUGUAGAAACGGCAGUAACUGCCAAGGCCCCAGAACCCUCAUUAUAGGGUCUGACUCGUACAUUGCCAGGGACCAGGCGGCUCCCACAGGUGUCCUGAGCUAUCUUUCUCACAGGCCACAUUGAAGCCAUUUAUGAAAUGAGAUUCCCUCUUCCUCAUCCAGAGAGACGGGUCUGGCCUGACCAUGGAGAAAUCAGAUUUGCUAAUAAUCAUGAUAGCUUCCACUCCGCAACUGGCCGCGAUCUGCCAGGCGCUGUGCUAAGCACUUCCACAGGCCUUGUCCCACUCCAUCCUGAUAACACCCCAGCGAAACAGGCUCUGCUGUUCACUCCACUCCACAAAGCCAAGGCUGAGAGAGGUUAACAGACUGAAGUAAGGUCACACAGCUAAAAAGUUGCCAAGCUGGGAUCCAAUCAAGUCUGUGUUUGUGGGUUUAACUAUCAUGUUCUUGGCCCCAACCCCAUUUGGCCUAGCCUGACUGGUGGACCACCUCACGGUAGCUUCCCCUGGAGAAGAGGAAAAGCAAGCCUUCAUUGAGACCCAAGUGGUCUCUCCUGGGAUCUGUGAUAAUAAUAAAGUCCUGGCCCAUGG